rnacentral:rRNA from 1 species
UACGGAGGGUGCAAGCGUUAUCCGGAUUCACUGGGUUUAAAGGGUGCGUAGGUGGGUCUGUAAGUCAGUGAUGAAAUCUCCGUGCUUAACAUGGAAACUGCCAUUGAUACUAUAGGUCUUGAAUUUUCUGGAGGUCAGCGGAAUAUGUCAUGUAGCGGUGAAAUGCUUAGAUAUGACAUAGAACACCAAUUGCGAAGGCAGCUUACUACGGAUAUAUUGACACUGAGGCACGAAAGCGUGGGGAUCAAACAGG